rnacentral:tRNA from 3 species
GGGGUCGUAGCGUAGCGGUUAACGCGUCUCCUUGUCAAGGAGAAGAUCGAGGGUUCGAAUCCCUUCGACCCCGCCC